rnacentral:lncRNA from 1 species
UAGAGCAACUUGCACAGCAGCCUGGGCCUUUUGCAGAGCCUUCUCCUGUUCUGGACCCUUCUCAAAACCUGCAGUCUUUCAGGUUACUCAAUAAAUGGGUCGGAGUAACACACCCGGUAUAUUGAUAUAUUGCUGGCCUUCUCAGCUGAAGGUAAAUUGCUUCUGGUGGGCCUUAUGGACAGGAAUGAAGAAAAAGGCAUUUGCCAAAUCAAUGGCUGCAUACCAGGUACAAUUGGAGUCACUACUUGGUUAAACUUAUGAUAAUUCACUGUCAUUCUCCAAGAUCCAUCUGUCUUCUGCACAGGAAAAUAGGAGAGUUGAAUGGGGAUGUGGUGGGAAUCACCACCCCUGCGUCUUUCAAGUCUUUGAUGGUGGCGCUAAUCUCCACAAUCUCUCCAGAGGGAAUCUCGCUCUGUCGCCCAGGCUGGAGUGCAGUGGCAUGAUCUCCGCUCACUGCAAGGUCCGCCUCCUGGGUUCACGCCAUUCUCCUGCCUCAACCUCCCGAGUAGCUGGUACUACAGGUGCCCGCCAGCAUUACCUCAUUCUAAGCCCAUAAAAACUAUGGACUCAGCCGCACAGUUGGCUACUAGUUCUGGAGUCCUCUCUCCACUGAGAGCUUUCUUUCUGUCACUCGGUAAAAUUCUUUUCUGCCUUACUCACUCUCUGGUGUCCACGCACCUUAUUCCUCUUGGUUGAAGGUUACAAACCCAGAACCCAGCAAGCUGCUGGUGGCAGAAGUAAAAAUGCUGUACCACGCUCUUGCUUGCUAAACUGUGAGAGUCAAAAAAGCCUCUUAGUGCCACACACUUCUGCUCGCCAAGCUGCGAGUGGUGGGAAUAAAAGGGCUUGUAACACACUCCCACUAACUGAGCUUUAGGAGUGAAGAGCUGUGACAUUUUUGGGGAGCUCAGACCUCGAGAAUCCCCAAGCAAGAGCUGUAACACCCCUUGGGGCUCCGCAAUUGCUGGCCUUUCUGAGUUUUUGGGUGCCACAGCGUUCCCCUCAUCUGGACGUCAGCGCCCGAUGCUGAAGCCGCUCACAGCAUGCCAGGUCCAACAAUGGGCUGAGCGUGGAGCCACAGUGGGUAUGGGAUCCAGACCAGGGCACAAGCCAAGCACAGCCUGCUGGGUCAAGUGGGCAGAGCAAGUCCAGUGGGCCCAAGUGAGGCCCAGACAGAGGUGACGGCCACAGAGAUUUCUGGCUGGUCAAACGGUACUGAAGGAAUCCUGUAACAAGGGGCCAUGAUGUAUAUGUAUGCAUAGGUUUUGUGAGUAAACCUAAAUAAUUUUCAAGAAGCUUGUUCAGCCUGUACCAAUUUACAUGUGAAAUGACAAUGGAUGAAAGUUAAAUUUUUCAUAUUAUUGCCAUUUCUUGGUAUUUAUUUUUUGUUUUGUUUUGUUUUCAUGGACACAUAUUGUGAUGCCA